GUUAAGUUUGGAUUUUAAACAAUCAAGUGAAGAAAACACAGAUAGACUGGAUAAGUUAAGUUUGGAUUUUGAUCUAUUAAGUACUCAUCUCAAUGAGAAGUGUGAGGAAAUUAAAACUACCCUCAGUAAGAACACUAGCGAACAGUUGAUACACUUCAGAAAAGAAUUUCAAGUUAAAGUUGAAAGUUUAAAUGAAAACAUACAAGCGAACACAGACAGCAUUGCUGUCAUCUACAACAGAGUAGAUACUGAAGCUAAAUGAUUAGAUCAGAGAAUAGACAAAACAUCAGAAAACCUUAAACAGGAAUACAACCUGUACACCACUAAUGUAGAUACAAAAGUAGAAAAUAUACACACUAAAUAUACACAAUUGGAGGAUGCAUUGAUGUCCAAACAAACGAUUUACAAUCAAAAUACAAUGUAUGGGCACAUCCAAGUGAAAUGCUUUCCUGGUGAAAAUCUGCACCCUAUUGACUUUAUUCACCAAUGUAAGGAUAUGUUUGUUGUAGGAAUGUCAGAUAACAUAAAAAUUAAGUUAGUAAAACGGUUUCUAGAAGGGGAGGCCCUAUCCUGGGCAAAUGAGAAUAAUGAUUCUUGGAAUACUUUUGAAGAGUUUGAACCUAAAUUUAUUUGUAAAUUUUGGUCACAGUCCAUACAAGCCAGAUUAAAGUCAGAAUUUCUAAAUGGACCAGUGUAUAGAGGGAAAGUAGGGGGAAUGCAAAAAUUUUGCAGAGAUCAAUUGAAAAAACUUGCUCAUUUGAAUAACUCUUUUGAUAUUAUGACACAAAUUGAUGUUUUAAAAAGAAGAUUACCAGAGAGACUGCAGUGGGAAUUGGUCCAUGGACCAGACGAUUCAAUGGAAGAGUUCCUGAAAUUUGUAGAUAGAUUAGAUAGGGCCUUGGAAAGAGAAAAUAACCAAAGUUUUGGCUCUGGCAACAACCAGUAUGGGGGGUGGAACAGGAAUGUAAAUAGAGAUUAUUAUGGGAGGAGAGACUUUGAAAAUUCUGGAAAUAAUGCUCCAAAUAAGGGAGAUAGGAGAUAUGAAAAUGAUUUCAGAAACAAUACACAGGAGGGAGGAUGGAGGAGAGAUAACAGGAAUGAUAGAAAUAGGUAUUGGGGAAGAGAACAAGAUAGAAGGGGGUUUGUUGAAACUAGUGAACAAAACGACAACUACAAACGGACAGACCGAG